UCCUGUAAUGGUGGUGUGGAAAUGUAAGUGAAAUAACCCUUUACUCACUGCCCCACCCCAAGUUCCUUUUGCGCAUGUGGUGUUUUAUCACGGCAGUAAAAAGCUAACUAGGACAGUGGCUAAAUGGGCCCCAGGAAUCAAGACAUCUGUAGUUCCUUCAGUAGCCACAAGAGGGGCUUAGAUUAGAUCCAGCCAUUCCAAGCUCUGCUGAGGUGGACAACUCUAGGUAUUGGACAAGGCCUGGAGUUCAACACUGGAAAUGAACUUUAUUCUGGACUCCACAUGUUCUGACCUCCUCUCCUGCAUCACCACGGCUUGAUCUGCCAGUGGUCAUGAAAGCUCCAACCACAGCCUCAAACCGUUUCCCAUGGAUUCCAGGAUUUCCAGGACAGGAUUUCUCUGUGUAACUCUGACUGUACUGGAAUCCACUCUCUAUAGAGCAGGCUGGUCUUUUAGUCAGAGAUUUGCCUGUCUCUGCUUCCUGAGUGUUGGGAUUAAAGGUGUACACCACCACCACCACCACCACCACCACCACCACCACCACCACCA